AAUAUGGUUAAAGUGACUUGUCCAAGUUUUCUGGUACAAGGCGCCGACGGUUUGGCAAAUUGUGGUGUUAAUCACCCGGGUUCAUUGCCACAAGCACAAGACGGACAGGGAGUGAUCAUCGGGUUGUAAAAAGAUGACAGAGAGACACAACAAGUAGGGUUCUGGGAAGCCAGCACUUGCGAGUAACUACAGGUUAAACUCCAUGUCACUGCCAAAAAGGGAACACGAUAUUUACAUGUUAGAGAGGCGUACCGUUUCUUAUUUUGCUGUCGAAGCAAUUUAUAAACCACAUGCUGAAACAUAUGAAAUCAAAGGCCACUAGUUGAAACGCUAUUGCAUGUACAUGCGAAGAUAUAUCAAAAGAUGGAAUGUGACACUUUGGGCACAUUUUGUUCGAACGGUAAAACUUACUCAUUGCUCGAGUCUUACGCAGACCAUCAGGCGAGUAGGAGACUGAGGGUGGCACAAUGGUUGCAGCACUGCAGGUAUACCCCGGCCCAGGACCAAGCAGGAAAAAAUUCUUGGGUGGUCUUGCUGUUGUAUUCGAGGUACCUGAAUGCCCGACACUCAGCUGAAAUGCCGAGACAGCAGCCAAGGGGUCUUGUCCAAGUGAUUCCAACACACCACCCUUGCAGCAAUCAGAAAAUCUUUGGUUGUAUGGAGCCGUAGGAGGCAAGUCAACAACUGAAGGAAUUUUUGAGCAGCUGUGUGGAAUAUUUCCUUUGAACUUGGAGCAGUAUCCUUGAUCAGUGGCUUGAGCUCCCGCCAUGGACCAGAUCACCUCCUUUUUAGCCCAUGUCCAUCCUAAGGUCCACCCUGGGCUCGUGACGGGGCGGUACAUUUGGUUGUUGCUUAUUGUCACUGCAGCCUGCGUAAUCAAGGUAAUAUUAAUAAGCAUUUGUUUUAAUUAACUUUUUGGAGAUUCUAAAUGCUUGAAUAUUUGUAUUAAUUAGAGCUUAAUCAUAACUUAAGAUAAACAAAAUUCUAAGAAAAUUAAUAAACAAAUAAGAUUACAAAGUUGACCUUAUACAAAAUGGCUGGCAUUGAUUUGAAUCAUUUCUGUGUACUUUUUCGACAAUUGUGGAGGAAUAUUCAUUGGACAUGAUACUUUUUUUCAUAUUUUAUACUUGUUGAAUUUAUUAAUUGUUAGGGUUACUCGAAGUGUUCAAACCAAAAACACAACAAAAAAGAUGUUUUACAAGUUCUUGUGGCACUCACCACAUAGCCAUCAGAAGUCCAAGAAACAACAUCCCAUCUGAUGUUUAUGCUCCCUUUUGGAUCAAACGGAUCAUAAGCCACUACAAACAUGACCGGAACGAAAAAAAAGGCAAAUUAGAACAAGCAACGAUGCUUAAUCAAGGAAUCAUAUUCCUAAUUAGAGUUCUAAUUACAGUUAAAAAUCUCACCUGCAUAAGAAAAUAUUGUGAAACACACGACAGAUGCAAACAAUGUGCUUUUACACUUCCUAAUCUCCAUGGAUUAACUUCCAGUAUGCUGCCUAGGGUUUUUUGUACAACGUAUUUGGUACGAUAUGAUUGUCGAAAUGUCAGUAUUUAUAAGCAACUAAGCUCAAACCAAAUACUAUAUCUUGUGCUAGGGUUUUUACAGAUGUCAUGUUCUCAUGUACUUGAUUGCGACAAAAGUAUAUGUAUAUGAGGAAUGUAUAUACUUCUGCAAUAUAUAAAAAUUUAAAGGCAUGGAAGAUUCCUUGUUGCAGCAACAUUGAUCCUGCCGGGCGGCGAAGGUGGGCGCAGACGAUGAGGAUCUACAGUACGAGUAUCUGCAGCUGAGGCCAAAAUUAAAUAAUAUUCAGGUGCUUUUUGGAAGCAGAAAAUUGCUUUUAAUUCACCAACCUACCAGUGCUUUUUGGAGACAAAGCAGUAGAUUGCACAAGCUUCUUGCCAAAUGCUGACUGUGACCUGCAUAACUAAUUAAUUUCAGCUUUUUCAUACUAUUUUUUUGGUCUUUUUUCAUCUAUGUUCAUCUAUCCACGUUUUCUAAAACCAUGUUAAGUGGCAUCUUCUUGGAACAUGAUGUGCUUUGCCUAAAAGACAUUUGUUUAUCAUCAAAUCUGCAGAUAGUUUGAGAUUUGAACAGUGCUUGGAAUUGAAAUGGAGGGACGGGCGGUGGGUCUUCGGGUUUGAGUGUGGACGUUAUACGUCCUACUCCAAGAAGCUAAUAUCGCGUAUUUUUCAUAUUUUUAUUUAUAAAACAAACAAAAUUCAGACUGCUAAGAUGAAGUUAUAUAUGAAAUUAUGAAUAGUGAGUAAAGUUGAUGAAACGUAUACAUUGUGUACUAAAUAUUUGGUGAUUAGA